rnacentral:rRNA from 1 species
AACGUUUCGAAAGGAACGCUAAUACCGCAUACGUCCUACGGAGAAGCAGGGACCUUCGGGCCUUGCGCUAUCAGAUGAGCCUAGGUCGGAUUAGCUAGUUGGUGAGGUAAUGGCUCACCAAGGCGACGAUCCGUAACUGGUCUGAGAGGAUGAUCAGUCACACUGGAACUGAGACACGGUCCAGACUCCUACGGGAGGCAGCAGGG